GCGGACAGGACACAUCCCAGUGAGCUAGUGACUCCGGAUACCAGCUGUGAAAAAGGGUCUCAUCAUCCUAACAGAGGGGUGGGGACUUAGGUAAGUGCCUUUGAGGACAAGCCGAGGGGCAUGCUCUGCCACCUGGCCCUGGGUGCCAGAAGGUGAGCUUUGAAUUAGAGCUGGAUGCUGGAACAGGCUCUGACCCUUGGGCUCCAGGGAGCAGCCCUUUGUGAGACAGAAGAGAGAAUCCUGACUUGGAGCUCCAGUGUCUGGAUUCCCCACUUUCUGCAGCACUUUCUUUCUUGUGCAGCCUCAUUUCCACACGUGUCCCACUCCCUUUCACCCCGAGUUAACUAUUGGUUUUUCCCUGAGUUGGAGUAUUAGGAAGCCAUUCACCAGGCCAAAUGAAGCACCUAAAAAUAACUGCUCUAGGGUACCAAUACAGAGAAGUUGCCCAUCACACAGAGAAAUAGGUUAUUUUCACAGUUCUUUAACCACCCUUGGAGCACUGUAGUUUUGGGGAACUUGAGGACCUUGGGGCUGGCUGGCAAGUAGAGGACGGGUAGGGCUUUUCUUAGCAGCUGCACACAGCCCCAGGGACUACUGGGGAGGACCGAGGGCGGCUAGACCCUGACCCAAACUGGAAAGCAUCUUGCUAGGUUCCCACUCAUUUCCUACAAGGCAGGAGAACAGGAUCAUUUUCUCUGAGUGAGGGCAAAGCCCAGCGCACACAACUUGGAAAACUCAAUUUAGUCAGCCUGCUUUUUACAUUCCACUCCCUCCCUCUCUUUUGAUUUCAAAAUUGAUAACAAGCCCACCGCUGCGCAUCUUUAUGAUAAUAGUUGCAAAUGAGUACGGUGCUCCCCCUACCCCCUCGACUAGGGAGCGUUUCAAGCAGUCAGUGGCAAGUAACUUCUCAGGAUAACUUCUCCCUGAGAUCUUCCCCCUCCCCUUUUAAUGGUGGGACUUUUCAUAAUGUGCACAAUACUAUUAAAAUUUCAUAUUAGCACUGUGUAUGGUGAACUUUGUAAUGGGAAAUUCAAUAGCUGCUGUAAAUAUUAAUGGAAUAUGAAAUGAAGCCACAGCCUCGACCAGCCCUGACAGUAAAACGGAGUGAGCAUGUGGCGGCCCCGGGGCGAGAGAGGCCUUUCCUCUUGUCGCUCUCGCUUUAUUACAUUAGCGCCGGCCUCCCCACGCCGGCGUGGGCUCAGAAGCCGAGGCGCAAGGGUCACCCAUGACAAAUGUCCCCGUGUCUCGCCAACAGGCCCCGCCUGGCCCUGCCACUCCAUCUGCUCAACAGGCCCCUGGAGAGUGCUUGCGGGUGUCAGUUUCGGGCACAGAGCUCUUGAGAGCGCCAGGUUUCCAAAAAGAUAGCAGUGGUUCGGGUGCCUCCUCAAGUCACCGCUCCCUGGACCUGGGGAGGGGACAAUUCCAAGCGCGUGUGUUAACGAACUCCAAGUAGCGUUCUGGGGUUGAAAGAGGUACUUUGAAAAGUCAGGCUCCCACUCCGGUCUAGAUCCAUGGCCCACCUUCCCCAAGCCCUAUCCCAACCCGACUCUAGUCCGCAGGACCUGUCUCAGAACUCGCCUUAGGCUCUUUUUGCUGACAGCUGCCAUCACCUACAGGGGCCCGGAGCAGUACGGGGGUCGUAAACUGACCCACGGGCGCCGGUUCACUCCGCCCCCAGCCUAAACCAUCCGGGCAGUCGAUUAUCAGAGUUUAGGCCUUGGAGCGGCAAGCGCAGCCUUUUCUCAGUCGGGAAUCUUCCAGAAACCACUGGGGAAUGUGCUGCGUAGACUGCGGGAGAUCCAGUAGUUCUUCCAGCAGCGGAGGGGCAGACCCGGCCUUUUGGAAAUCUGGGGUUCCUGCUGGGGAGGACUGCGCGUAGGCAAACGUAGCCAUCAACACCUUGUGCUGCGAGUUAUUUCUACCGGCUGAGAACGAUCCAGAAUUGAGUGGCAGGCGACGGGUCUGCCUGCUCGCAGUAUUUAUUUUGUACCGACAGCACUUAGGAGACCUUAGUUUCUAGUUGGGACAUUAAUCUCCACUUGUUAGGAGAUCGGCUGUCACCGUUGAGCCUUCCCACUUCUGAAGGCCGAUGGUGUCCCGAGCUCCGAGCUCUGCCACACGCUACCAGGACGGUAGCGAAGGGUUCCCCUUCUAUUUUUACCUCGUAGAGAGGGGCGAAAGGGACUCUUUCUUAUUGCAAAGAUGGUUUUUAAGGCAGGACUCUCGGCUCAGAGGCGCAGCGUGCUGGCCGCCGAGUCGCGAGUCCUCCCAUUUCACCGCCACUGACUGCAGAGUCAAUUGCUACCUCCCUUUUACCACCCGUUUAGCUGGGGACGCGUUUCCAUUCCAUCUACCCCCUCCCUCUUUAAAUUGUUUUCUGCCCAGUUUCUCUUCGCUCCCGGAAUCAAUCCAAAGCAGCGCUGCUGCUAUUCCCUCAUUUGCUCUCCGGGUACCCAAACAUCAGGACCCAAAGGAGAGGAAAUAAAGAUAGGAUUGAAACGCUCCAGGGGUUCCCAGGCAGAGAUUGCUUCAACAAGCUAACCCUGUAUUCCAGAUCCCCGGCAUUGCUUCAAGUGUGGUUUGCUGCUGGUCAUGAACCCUUGGCCAGUCUGUCCCUCCUCCUCAGAGAGCUGAGCCUCAGCACUUCUUUGGCGCCACUAAAUGCACCCCAAUCCCCCAACCCCCACCAGGAUCUUGCAACUUUUUCCGCCUUGCCCCUAUAAAAGAGUUACACUUUCUACGAAGACUUAAAAAAAAAAAAGACAAGAAAUGGAUAUAGGUUUUGUAACCGUUAAAUAACUUUCCCAGCGUGUAUUAAAGGAAGAUUGUAUUUUAUCAACAGCUGAUUGAUGCCCGUGUGAUCCUGUCGGUUUGUCUAUAGUAUCAUAUUUAUUUAACCUGCUGGGGGACCGUGUUCCGGGGCAGCCUGUUCACGCUGACAAGAGCGUGCACAUUACACACUACCCCAGGUAUUUUGAUUGAUUGUUCCCACCCUAAAGCCUUUGGUUCAUAAUUUAGCACAGCGGGUUCUGCAUCACAGACUAGGCUAAAAAAAAAAAAAAAAAAAAAAAAAGAAUCCUGUAAGAGAUUUCAAUGAACAACUACUGGCAACAAACCGUUCUCUACCUGAAACCCCCAAAUAUUUUAAUAUCUUAACAAUCACAAAACAUUCAACUCUUAUUUACCCCAUUUUUCAGAAGUGGUAUCAGAGAAUGCAUUUUGAGACUGUGGCUGGACCAGUCAGUAUUUCUUGAACUAGAGUUGAAGUGGUGAGGACACAGCUCCCCCCCCCCCUCUUUUUCUUUCUCUUGCAAUAGCAGGCUUGGGUGCUGAAGGAGCAGGGAGAAAAGAAUGGGCCAUCCCCACAGACGCUUCUCCUGUGUGGCUUUGGAAUGUAGUUCAUAAGGUCUUUUGCUGGAAUUACUACCAUUGUUUAACUCCACGAAUGAACGAGGAGAGGCUCCUUCUUUUGUUUUCCUUCAGAAGACAAACUCUUCAGUGUACCUAAGAAACAUUCAAAAAUAUUUGUGUACUUAAAAAAAAAGUAAACCACCUCAGCUGUCUAGCAAAAAUGUAACCUGAAGUUAGUAAUACCUACUGCAGAAUCCAGCAAAUACUCUCUCUUCUCUUAAGGGAUUUCUAAGAAGGCAGCUUGUUGGCGAAACUUAUUUUUCUGAGCCCCAGCAAAAGCACAUGUUUUACCUCACGUGCAUUUAGCCAAUUGUUUUGGCUGUGAUAAACAUGGGAGACUUCUUCCUGUAUUAUUGUUGUUCUGGCUAGUAAUGGUUUUUUGUUGUUGUUGUUGUUGUUGUUUUUUAAAGGAUGAGAAAACAAGUUUGAAAUGUGUGUUGUUUCCAGUGAUGUAAUGAUGCUGUGUGUGCCUGGUAGUCUUGCAUUUGUCUUUUAGAGAUUCUUGAAGCCUGUAAGGUCAUCUUGGCAGCAUCCUGUAUCUAACCAACCUCCCUCCCCAGACUUUAUUUUGGUAUUCUAGGUUGGAUGGGUUGGCCAUUAUCACAAUGGCCAAUGGCAUGAAUUUCCAGGAUGUAGAUAUGUAGACAUUAAAGAAAGACAUCAAGGGAAUAAUUGUCCUCCCAUAAGUCAAUAUAGGUAAUACAGUGCCCUCCUUCACUUCUUAGGUUAUUAUUGGGGCAAAACAAUUUUUUUAAAAAAAUCUAUCUAGUGAUAAUAGAUACUGGUGAUAGCAAUCAUUAAAACUUCCUUCUUCGUUUCUUCUUCAUUUUUGAAUAUUAUUCAUAGAAGCUAUCUUUGGGCUUGAUGUAUGCGUUUAAAUAAGGAUAAAGACAUUAACCAAGUUUUAUAUCCUCCCAUUUCUAAUUAACAUUUCUUUGAUUGAAUGUCCCUUAUUUUUAAUGCUGCCACUAGAGCCUUUCUUCUAUCAUCACACUUGGGGCAUGUUUGGGAGAUCUCACUGGUAGCCUUUCUUUGCCAGUAAUAUCUUGUUCAGCCACUCUUUUUAUCUCUAGAUGUUGCUAUUUAUCCUUAGAUGAUAUUCAAUGAAAAAGAAAAACUCAGAAUAUUUGAAAACUCCAGGAAAGGCAUCUCUCUGCUGAGAAAACAGCCAUGAUCAAAUGUUAAGUACAGACGCAGUAUUCAGAGAGAAAGACAGGGCACGCUGGCUAAGGAAAUAUUUACCCAGGCCUCCAUGGCAGCCAGGAGCACUAAGGCAGACCAAGUGCAGUGAUGGGAAGGACAGUGGUUUGUUUGUUUGUAGUAAACAACUCUAUGCAAUUUAAUCACUCAUGCUAAGAAAGUAUUGAGGUAGCCUAUGAAUCUAUUUGUGGCCAUUCUUUUUUCUCCCCAAAGCCUUUAGAAAUCAUUGGUUUACAUCCAGAAUGAUCUUUUUCUUCCUUUCUCCCUUCCCCUCCUCCCUCCCUCCUCUCUCUCUCCCUUCCUUUCUUCCCUUCUUUCUGAAACAGUGCCUCACGUAGCAGUGGUUGACUUCUAACUUGAUGUGUCCUUCUGAGGAUGACCUCAGGUUUGGGACCUGUCCUACUUCCUGGGCGGACAGACAUGUGCUAUCUUGCCUUGUUUAUGCGGUGCUGGGAUUGACCUCAGGGUCUGGUGUAUACUCAGCGAGUGCUUUAGAAACUGAGCCACAUCUUGGCUCUGUGGAUAAACUUUUUGAAAAACAAAACAAAACCCUACUAUAAGUGUUCUUUAAUAAUGAAUAAAACCAUCUCGUAGGUUGUUUCUUGAGGAAUUUUUGGAUUAGUUUAAAUAUAUGCUGAUACAUACACAUACAAAUUAACCUCUUUGAAGUCUGGCUUACUUCUUAAUCAUAUAGCUCUGGGCAGGCUACUCCAUUUCUCUGUCCCUGAGUUCUUUUAUGUAGAGAAAUAUUAAUCAUAUCUGUUAUCAGGGAUUGUCAAAAGUGUUAUGUGAACUAACUCCCAGAAGCUCUUAAAACAGAACUGGCAGGCAUAACUCCUAACCACCAAGCAGCUAUUGCUAUAGGCCAUGAUAUACACUGAUGUUUUAAUAUCAUUAUUGAAAAUAUGUUUUUUUUUUCUGGUCACCUGUGAUGUUGUACGACCAGAUGCUAAUUCUCAAACUAAGGAUGAAUUGGUUUAAGCAGCUAAAAAAAAAAAAAAAAGUACUGUGUGUGCUCAAGUCUCAGUGGAACAACACUGCCUCCAAGGAGCGAGACAAUCUUUGUCUGUCUUGUAUCUUAGGUUCAGGACACACUACAUAACCUUAUAUGUAAAGUGAAAGAACAAACUUCAGCUCCAGAAAGUGGUGAGGAUGCCACCAAAAUGUCUGCACACCACAUGCACACUGAGUCACAGAGACUUGGCUGUAAACCCCUCAAGAGCCAAACAGCUAUGUCCUCAUUUCCCAGCCCCGUUCCCCAUUAUUCCAGAAGGACAUCAGCGUACUUCUUUCUCACUCCUGCAAUGUGCUAGGCACCUGCGUCCUCCAUCGCGUACUUGAGUCUCUCUGUUAAUCUUUAACAUGUCAGGGGCAUUUCAGCUUUCUCUGUUAAAAGCAUCCUUUUGUAACAUGUUUUAGAUAUGCACUAUCAGGUUAUGCAAGGUCGAAUUUAUUCCUAGGAGAAGGUGAUAUGUUCUGGCAACGCGUUAGACUGCCAAUUAAAAAC
rnacentral:lncRNA from 1 species